rnacentral:rRNA from 1 species
ACCUAAGGAUUGCAGGUUUUGAUUCGGUGUUAGCCUGUUCUUCUGUAGUUCCGUGUUAUAACGGGAUUGCAUGGAAUUAGGUUGAUAUCCGUGGCAUUUGUCCCCAUAGACUUUGUCCGUGGGUGUUCAGGUGUGGGUUUUUACUUGCAGUCCGAUCCUUGCCAAUGGUUCGCCAUUGGUAAAGGCCUUAUGGUACAACUGUAAACAAAUCAGAGUGCUCAAAGCAGGCAUUGUUAAUGGGGAUUUAUCUUCAGUUUUGCUUGAAUGAUUUAGCAUGGGAUUGUCUUGGAGCCGUGAAUAGUGCCCUCAGCAAUGGGGAACGCUGUUCACUGGCGCUUGUAAUGUGAAGCAGGGAGAGGGCUCAAGUACUAUGGUGCUAGAGGUGAAAUUUAGAUACCAGCAUAUGACUUUCUGAUGCGAAAGCUGUUAUUGUCCAAUACACUUCUUUCGAUCAGGGACGAAAGUUAGGGGAUCGAAGAUGAUUAGAUACCGUCGUAGUCCUAACUAUAAACGAUACCAACAAGAGAUUGGUAGUGAAACCAUUUAAGAUCCUCUCAGAAUCCAAGGGAAACCUAAAGUCUUUGGGUUCUGGGGGGAGUAUAGUCGCAAGGCCGAAACUUAAAGGAAUUG